UACGGAGGGGGCGAGCGUUAUUCGGAAUUAUUGGGCGUAAAGGGCUCGUAGGCGGUUUGUCGCGUCGGGAGUGAAAACCCAGGGCUUAACCCUGGGCUGGCUUCCGAUACGGGCAGACUAGAGGUAUGCAGGGGAGAACGGAAUUCCUGGUGUAGCGGUGAAAUGCGCAGAUAUCAGGAGGAACACCGGUGGCGAAGGCGGUUCUCUGGGCAUCACCUGACGCUGAGGAGCGAAAGUGUGGGGAGCGAACAGG
rnacentral:rRNA from 1 species